UGCGUAGGAUGCAAGCGUUGUCCGGAUUUAUUGGGCGUAAAGAGCGUGUAGGCGGCCAGACAGGUCCGUUGUGAAAACUCGAGGCUCAACCUCGAGACGUCGAUGGAAACCGUCUGGCUAGAGUCCGGAAGAGGAGUGUGGAAUUCCUGGUGUAGCGGUGAAAUGCGUAGAUAUCGGGAGGAACACCAGUGGCGAAGGCGACUACCUGGCCUGUUCUUGACGCUGAGGCGCGAAAGCUAGGGGAGCAAACGGG
rnacentral:rRNA from 1 species